rnacentral:tRNA from 1 species
CGCGGAGUAGAGCAGUCUGGUAGCUCGCAAGGCUCAUAACUUUGAGGUCACGGGUUCGAAUCCCGUCUCCGCGU